rnacentral:rRNA from 1 species
AGAGUUUGAUCAUGGCUCAGAGUGAACGCUGGCGGCGUGCCUAACACAUGCAAGUCGAGCGAAGUGGCAGCUGUAGCAAUACAGUAUGUGCUUAGCGGCAGACGGGUGAGUAACACGUAGAUAAUUUACCUCUUAGCGGGGGAUAGCCCGCCGAAAGGCGGGGUAAUACCGCGUACGAUCAAGAUUCGGCAUCGAGUUUUGAUGAAACACCUGUAAUGGUGGCUAAGAGAAAAUUCUGCGGCCUAUCAGCUAGUUGGUGAGGUAACGGCUCACCAAGGCUACGACGGGUAUCCGACCUGAAAGGGUGACCGGACACACUGACACUGAGACACGGGUCAGACUCCUACGGGAGGCAGCAGUGAGGAAUUUUGGACAAUGGGGGCAACCCUGAUCCAGCGACGCCGCGUGAAGGAUGAAGGUCUUCGGAUUGUAAACUUCUUUUAUUUGGGACUAAGAAACCUGGUGAAAAUCGGGGAGUGAAUGUACCAAGUGAAUAAGCCACGGCUAACUUCGUGCCAGCAGCCGCGGUAAUACGAAGGUGGCAAGCGUUACUCGGAAUUACUAGGCGUAAAGGGCAGGUAGGUGGUUCGAUAAGUCUGUUGUGAAAGCUCCCGGCUCAACUGGGAGAGGCCAACAGAAACUAUCGGACUUGAGUAUGGGAGAGGUUACUGGAAUUCCCGGUGUAGCGGUGAAAUGCGCAGAGAUCGGGAGGAACACCAAUGGCGAAAGCAGGUAACUGGACCAUUACUGACACUCAACUGCGAAAGCUAGGGGAGCAAACAGGAUUAGAUACCCCUGUAGUCC